rnacentral:snRNA from 1 species
GGAUGUGAGGGGUGAUCUGGGUGCGACAUCUGUCACCCCCAUUGAUCUCCAGUGUUGAUUCCAGCUGAUCUGGCUGGCUAGGCGGUUGCCCCUUCCUCCCCUUACCGCUCCAUGUGCUUCCCUCGGGAAGCUGCACACUCAGUCAAAGAGGAUGGCCUUCCCUGAAUAGAGACGACUGGUCUUUGGUCGAGAAUAUAUGAGUAGCUGCGCUCCCCUGCUAGAACCUCCAAACAAGAAAGGAGUUGUGGGGGCAAAGCAUUGGUUUCCACAAGAAUGGGACAACGUUACAUUCCCAU